rnacentral:rRNA from 1 species
GACGAACGCUGGCGGCGUGCUUAACACAUGCAAGUCGAGCGGUAAGGCCCUUUCGGGGGUACACGAGCGGCAAACGGGUGAGUAACACGUGGGUGACCUGCCCUCAGCUCUGGGAUAAGCCUGGGAAACCGGGUCUAAUACUGGAUAUGACUCCAUGACGCAUGUUGUGGGGUGGAAAGCCUUGUGCGGCUGAGGAUGGGCCCGCGGCCUAUCAGCUUGUUGGUGGGGUGANGGCCUACCAAGGCGACGACGGGUAGCCGGCCUGAGAGGGCGACCGGCCACACUGGGACUGAGAUACGGCCCAGACUCCUACGGGAGGCAGCAGCUAGGAAUUUUGCGCAAUGGGCGAAAGCCUGACGCAGCAACGCCGCGUGGGGAAGAAGGCCCUCGGGUUGUAAACCCCUUUUCUGAGGGAAGAAGAUCUGACGGUACCUCAGGAAUAAGCCACGGCUAACUACGUGCCAGCAGCCG